AAGCCUCACUGAUACCUAUCUGGUUUACUAUACUUCAUAGUUAUCACGGAGACUUGG
ensembl:miRNA